CAUUCUUUGACUAUGGAGAACGUUUUCCAAAUCGAACUUCUAAAGCUGUUUUUUCUAGUUGUCCCCCUUGUUUUUGUUUAAUUUUUUUUUUCUCCCCGGAAAAAAAAACUCCGAAAUGGUGUAACCACAAUUUUGGCAAAAGAACUUAAAAAUCUUUUAACCUUGCAAAUGUAACAAAAUAAACCAUAAAUAUACACAAAACAUACUUCAUACGAGGCAAUAAUAAUAAUAAUAAUCAUAAUAAAUAGUUUUUAAGUUAACAAUAAGUUAAAACUACAAGCUUAAAGUCGCCCAAAUAAUACAAGUUUGUCGGCGCUAUUUUGACAUUUUUUUUCUGUUUAAAUUAUUUUUAUGUUGCAACAAAAGCUACCACAGACUUUUACAAACACAAUCGAACACAUUUUGAUUGGAACGAAAAGAAUCUAAGUCUAAAAUCGGCAUACACUUUAAAAAACUGCAACUAAUCCGAUAAUGGAGGAAAAAAAUAAAUACAAAUAAAAGAACAAACCGUACCCAAUCAAUGCAACCAAACAUAAUCGACCCAUAUGUGUGUUCUCUAUGGCAACAUCAACAACACAAAUACACUCAAUAAACAAGUGAGUCCUGAUAUGCAAUUGAAAUCAAUAAAUUACAAGAGGAAAAAAAAAAGAUAUUUAGUCGACAUGGGCGGGAAAAAAAACAAAAACAAAAAAACAACUGAUGAGCUAUUAGACAGUAUUCCUUUCAAGGUCACUGACGGUUGCUCCGUUCAGUCGGAGUCUUUGAGCUUGUACGGUCAGAGCACAAAUUACGGGGGGCUGAGGAGGUCGUCAUGGAAAUUUCCAGAUCAGAGCUCUCUCAUUUGAGUUCUCCUUAACGAGCCGGCUCGUCUUUGCGCCGUCGUUCGUCCGAUAUGGUUUUUGCUUGUUUGUUCCUUUCGCUAUUCCGCAAACCUUCUCAGUGUGACGUUUAAUUUCUUUUUUAAAAAAUAUAUAUCAUUUGUUCUCAGUCAAUAUAAAAACAAAGCACAUUGCACUUACUGUUCCAUAGGAAAGUUUUUUUGUCUUUUUUGUCUUUUUCUUCUAACAUGAUUAUUGUUGUCGCUCAAGCGGUGUGUGUUCGUGUGCGCUACUGUUUCCUGUUCCUCGGCUCUCUUUGAGUGAAGGUGGUCUUUGAGUAUGUAGAUUCAUUCCGGUCUUUGACGGCAAUAUAUUAGAUGACUCCGACUUCCUAAAAAGCGAAAUUUGUCGGUAUUGGGGCGCUAAUGCCUGACCAAAAACUAGCCAAAUUAGUCGUGAACAGCAGUGAGAUCGACAGAUGCUCGAUUAAUGGCCGAAUAUAAGACUGUGGGUUUUUUUGCAUUGACGUAAGAUUGAAAAAGUGGGGGUCGUCUUAUAUUCGGGGUCUAGACAUUAUACCAAUUCAUGACGCUAGAUGGCGCCAGAUAUCAUUGAAGCGAAUGUUAAACUUGACUCCCAGGCCAAAGUGAACCCCUGCCAGGAAAAAUAAAAAUAGCGGUAGCACUGUAGUACUGUCAUUAUUUUCUGUAUUAAAAUUAAUUUGGUGUUCAAAAAGUCUUUUUUUUCAAACUUGAGUCUUGAAAAAGAGGGGGUCGUCUCAUAAUCAGGGCCGUCUUAUAUUCGGGCCAAGCAGUGAUUUUAGGGAUCGAAUGGAUCGUGAGACGAAGCAGGCGACGGAAAUGUCAAGGAGGGGGCGGGCUACUGUAUCCAAUGCUCCCCUUUAGUGAGAGGUGAUAAGAUUGAUUGCUUGUUUCUGAGAUGCCCCUUUAGCACUCGUGUCUGCGUGAAAUGUGUGCAAAUGGGAUUUGCUCGGUGGGUUUGAGGAGCCACAAAUGAUCGCUUGAUGUUCAAAAGAAAGAACGCAAAUUGUGGAAAGGGUCCUCGAAGACGCCACAAAUAACAGAUUUGUACAGCAAUUAAUCAAGGCGGGGAGGGGGGGCGUGUUGUGUUUAAAACUCAUUCAGUACCAGACGGUUCUGGACCCAGUCUGAAAAAGACGUUUAAAAACAUCUUUGGGAGUGAAUGAGUUCAGUUUUACUGACUGGCAGACCAAACUCUAUGUCAAAAAAAAAAAAAUCUACUCUAUCUAAGGAAUCGCGCUCAGUGGUCACCACGAGGCCGCCCUGUCAUAUCAAAUCUGCGCAUAUCCUCUUUUUUUGGGGGGGGGGGGGGGGGCGUUACAAGCAGCGAUUGGUUUUGUCAGCCGGGCAAUGAGAUGGUCUCACCGCACAUUUUUUUGGUGGUUUUUUUUUUUUCAUCUGGGAUUUACAAGCCAAAGAAGCAACAUCAAGCAACACUGUACACGACGAGUUCAGCACAAGAGUGUCUGAGGCACUCAAAAGUAUCCCCGUAACGGUUCGGCUUGACCUAUUUUUUGAUGUCAACUUCAGUUCUGUUUUUCUUCUUAACUGUCAAGUUUGUCUCCAAAACGUUAGCCACGGUCGAGCGGUUUUAAUUUGCUGUGUGCGAUAGUGUUCCUUUGCCCCCUUCCCGAGACUCCCACCCGCGCAGCGCAUUGCUCGUUUCCCCCCCCUCCCUCUCACGCCUGCAAACAUCAGAGGGUUUAAAAUAAAAGCCAUGCAACGUCCCAAUUUUUUUUUUCUCUUUUACCCCGAGCUUAAGAAUCUGUAAAAAUUCAGCACAAGGUCUUGUUCCUUUGUAUGUAUAAAAAUAGAUUUAUCUUUAAUGUAUUCCUUUCAAAGAGAUUGCCCUCUUUGGCUUACACAGCGUCAUUUAGAAAAGCAAACAAGUCUUGAAUAGAGUUGACCUCUAUUUUAAAUCUAUGAUCCUGCGCAGAUAGCGAAAGACUUUCGCCCUUUGCCGCGCUAGAGCUCACGACUGCUCUUCGCUAGACACUUCGGAUAAGACGAGCGGGCCUUCAUGUUCCAUCGAGGAAAAAAAGAAAUAAAAAUUCCACAGCGCUGGGUUCGAGAUGCAUUAUGACACUUAAGUUGUCAUCUUGAUGUUGAUCAGUUGUUGGGCGAGGGGGGGAUUUCAGCGACUUUUCAGAAGCUACCGAGUUGUUUGAAAGGAAUCGAACCGAGAAACAUCGGUCCACGCUUCUGGGACCGAGUCUUUUUUUUUUCACGUCGAGGGACACUCUUGUCAAUGUUUGGCCCUUGAAUUUGAAGCCACGCUUCUCAGUUGCUUGUUUUAACUUGAGUCGAUCGACUAAACGUUGUGAUUUUGGAGGUUCCUGUCUGAGGACGAGAUUGAAGAAGAAUCACAUUUGCUUUUGCGAGUGUGUUAUCUCUUCGCAGACCGUCUGACAUCGAUGUAUUAUUACUUUAUCAGCCGUGACCAACGUGGGCUGCCUCGUGUAUGGUAGCGUGCCAGCAAAAACCACUGUGUCAGGUACAUGUGGUUGAGGUUCCGUCUCCCCCCCCUCCUUCCCUCCCCAUCAAAGCCUGAUUGCCUGAGGCAUCUCAUGCCGCAUUUUGCACAGAUGCAGCUAAAAAAAAAAAAAGAAAAAGCAAAAUGUCAUUUUCUGUCGCGCUGGAAAUCAAUCCUCAAUGUCUACCCCCUGCGCCACUCAGCUUUGGGAUCGUUUUUGCUCUGGUGGACUCGUCUUAGGUGUACUGUAUUGUUUGGAGUGACGCUGUGAGAAGGGGGGGCAGACUGGCUAUUUAUUUAUUUAUCUAUUUUAUUCCGGUUCCCAGAUUCACGAGUUUACUUAAAUCGGCAUCGGGUCCGAGCGACCAAGCUCACGUGGAGUUAGAGGGAUCUGCCUUGAUGCUCGGCGCCGCCGAAAGCAGUUCAGGAAAACAGUUGUCAAGGUUUUUUAGAAAAUGCUUACAUAUACGGCUAUUAUUACCACCACCUGUAUAUUGAAUAUAUAGUUAGAUUUUUUUUUUGAUAGAUGUAUAAGAGAACACUGUGUCUUCAUUUCAUUUUCUUUGAUCUUAAAAAAAGUCACUGAUUCAAAAUGCCCAAGUGUAAAAAAAAACAAAACAAAA